AUUAACGCUAGCGGCAGGCAUAAUACAUGCAAGUUGAACGGGAUUAGUUUAGCAAUAGACUAUGAGAGUGGCGCACGGGUGCGUAACACGUAUGCAACCUGCCCUUGACUGGAGGAUAGCCUCUCGAAAGAGAGAUUAAUAUUCCAUAACAUAUAGGUUAAGCAUUUAAUUUAUAUCAAAGCUCCGGCGGUCAAGGAUGGGCAUGCGGUUGAUUAGCUAGUUGGUGAGGUAACGGCUCACCAAGGCGACGAUCAAUAGGGGGUCUGAGAGGAUGUCCCCCCACACUGGUACUGAGACACGGACCAGACUCCUACGGGAGGCAGCAGUAGGGAAUAUUGGUCAAUGGAGGCAACUCUGAACCAGCCAUGCCGCGUGCAGGAAGACUGCCCUAUGGGUUGUAAACUGCUUUUGUACGGGAAGAAAUGUUGCUACGUGUAGCAAUUUGACGGUACCGUAAGAAUAAGGAUCGGCUAACUUCGU
rnacentral:rRNA from 1 species